UUUGAUUUAUUUAAUUGGAUUAAGAAUGCCUUACACAGGAAAAGACAUCCAAUACAAUCAACAAUAAAAACACAAUAAAGUACAGGACUUAUUUCCAUUGUGGUCCUCAACACAUAACAUCAGGACAAAACAAGACACAUACAGAGUUUGU